GAUGAACGCUGGCGGCGUGCCUAAUACAUGCAAGUCGAGCGAAGCGGGGACGGGUGAGUAACACGUGGAUAACCUCCUAUAAGACUGGGAUAACUUCGGGAAACCGGAGCUAAACCGGAAACUUAUAGAUGAAUCCGGCCUGCAUUAGCUAGUUGGUAAGGUAACGGCUUACCAAGGCAACGAUGCAUAGCCGACCUGAGAGGGUGAUCGGCCACACUGGAAUGGAGACAGGGUACAGACUCCUACGGGAGGAAGCAGUAGGGAAUCUUCCGCAAUGGGCGAAAGCCUGAUGGAGAAACGCCGCGGGAGUGAGUAAGGUCUUCGGAUCGUAAAACUCUGUUAUUAGGGAAGCGGUACCUAAUCAGAAAGCCACGGCUAACUACGUGCCAGCAGCCGCGGUAAUUC
rnacentral:rRNA from 1 species